AUCACUUCUUGGCCUUUUGGCUAAGAUCAAGUGUGGUAUCUGUUGUCAUCAGUUUAAAAUCCAGCACAAUUCUAUCUCUACUCUGUCAGUAUGAGGUACCUCUUGGAUGAAGAUUUCAUUAAGUGUUUCUUAGCAACUCUAGAAGCACUUUCAUGAAACCAGCC
ensembl:snRNA U2 U2 spliceosomal RNA